GGGUCAGUAGGUUGGUCGUGCCACCGGUACGUACUGGUCUCACUGAUUCCUCCUUCCUGAAGAACCGUAAUGCCACUAAUUUGGUGUUGCGGGGAAACAGGACUGUUACUUUGAAAGAAUUAGAGUGUUUAAAGCAAGCUAACGCUUGAAUACAUUAGCAUGGAAUAAUGAAAUAGGACGAUCGAUCCUAUUUUGUUGGUUUCUAGGAUUGACGUA
rnacentral:rRNA from 1 species